rnacentral:rRNA from 1 species
UGUGGGGAAUCUUAGACAAUGGGGGCAACCCUGAUCUAGCCAUGCCGCGUGAGUGACGAAGGCCCUAGGGUCGUAAAGCUCUUUCGCCAGGGAUGAUAAUGACAGUACCUGGUAAAGAAACCCCGGCUAACUCCGUGCCAGCAGCCGCGGUAAUACGGAGGGGGUUAGCGUUGUUCGGAAUUACUGGGCGUAAAGCGCGCGUAGGCGGGCUGUUAAGUCGGGGGUGAAAUCCCGGGGCUCAACCCCGGAACUGCCCUCGAUACUGGCAGCCUAGAGUUCGAGAGAGGUGAGUGGAAUUCCGAGUGUAGAGGUGAAAUUCGUAGAUAUUCGGAGGAACACCAGUGGCGAAGGCGGCUCACUGGCUCGAUACUGACGCUGAGGUGCGAAAGCGUGGUGAGCAAACAGGAUUAGAUACCCUGGUAGUCCACGCCGUAAACGAUGAAUGCCAGACGUCAGGUUGCUUGCAACUUGGUGUCACACCUAACGGAUUAAGCAUUCCGCCUGGGGAGUACGGCCGCAAGG